rnacentral:misc_RNA from 1 species
GCAAACUUGGUCAUUUAGAGGAAGUAAAAGUCGUAACAAGGUUUCCGUAGGUGAACCUGCGGAAGGAUCAUUACUGAAUCAAAUGGAUUUGGUUGCUGCUGGCCUUUAAGAGGGCAUUGUGCACACCUACUCCAUUUUUUCAAACCCUCCCGUGCACUUUAUGUAGGACCUUGAAUGAACAGGUAAAGAAAAUGCAUUCAUGUGUUUUCAUUGCCAAUGGGUAACUGCUGUGUAGCUGAAAAGAGACCACGGCUGUUUUGCCUCUGGUUCUUCAAGGCUUCUAUGUUUUUUUUAACAUUAUACUCCACAAGCAUGUGUCAGAAUGUUAUUUGUAGACCUUUUUUGAGGUCUUAUAAAUGCAAAUACAACUUUCAACAACGGAUCUCUUGGCUCUUGCAUCGAUGAAGAACGCAGC